rnacentral:rRNA from 1 species
UACGUAGGGAGCAAGCGUUGUCCGGAUUUAUUGGGCGUAAAGAGCUCGUAGGCGGCUUAGCAAGUCGGGUGUGAAACCUCCAGGCUCAACCUGGAGACGCCACUCGAUACUGCUAUGGCUUGAGUUCGGUAGGGGACCAUGGAAUUCCUGGUGUAGCGGUGAAAUGCGCAGAUAUCAGGAGGAACACCGAUGGCGAAGGCAGGUCUCUGGGCCACUACUGACGCUGAGAAGCGAAAGCGUGGGGAGCGAACAGG